CACGUAGGGCGCGAGCGUUGUUCGGAAUUAUUGGGCGUAAAGAGCUCGUAGGCGGCCUGUUGCGUCCGCUGUGAAAGCCCGGGGCUUAACCCCGGGUCGGCAGUGGAUACGGGCAGGCUAGAGGUAGGUAGGGGAGAAUGGAAUUCCCGGUGUAGCGGUGAAAUGCGCAGAUAUCAGGAAGAACACCCGUGGCGAAGGCGGCUCUCUGGGACGGUACUGACGCUGAGACGCGAAAGCGUGGGGAGCGAACAGG
rnacentral:rRNA from 1 species